AGAGUUUGAUCCUGGCUCAGGAUGAACGCUGGCGGCGUGCUUAACACAUGCAAGUCGAACGAUGAAGCCCAGCUUGCUGGGUGGAUUAGUGGCGAACGGGUGAGUAACACGUGAGUAACCUGCCCUUGACUCUGGGAUAAGCGCUGGAAACGGCGUCUAAUACCGGAUACGAGCUUCCACCGCAUGGUGAGUUGCUGGAAAGAAUUUCGGUCAAGGAUGGACUCGCGGCCUAUCAGGUAGUUGGUGAGGUAACGGCUCACCAAGCCGACGACGGGUAGCCGGCCUGAGAGGGUGACCGGCCACACUGGGACUGAGACACGGCCCAGACUCCUACGGGAGGCAGCAGUGGGGAAUAUUGCACAAUGGGCGCAAGCCUGAUGCAGCAACGCCGCGUGAGGGACGAAGGCCUUCGGGUCGUAAACCUCUUUUAGCAGGGAAGAAGCGAAAGUGACGGUACCUGCAGAAAAAGCACCGGCUAACUACGUA
rnacentral:rRNA from 1 species